GAUGAACGCUGGCGGCGUGCCUAAUACAUGCAAGUCGAGCGAAUGGAUUAAGAGCUUGCUCUUAUGAAGUUAGCGGCGGACGGGUGAGUAACACGUGGGUAACCUGCCCAUAAGACUGGGAUAACUCCGGGAAACCGGGGCUAAUACCGGAUAACAUUUUGAACCGCAUGGUUCGAAAUUGAAAGGCGGCUUCGGCCGUCACUUAUGGAUGGACCCGCGUCGCAUUAGCUAGUUGGUGAGGUAACGGCUCACCAAGGCAACGAUGCGUAGCCGACAUGGGAGGGUGAUCGGCCACACUGGGACUGAGACACGGCCCAGACUCCUACGGGAGGCAGCAGUAGGGAAUCUUCCGCAAUGGACGAAAGUCUGACGGAGCAACGCCGCGUGAGUGAUGAAGGCUUUCGGGUCGUAAAACUCUGUUGUUAGGGAAGAACAAGUGCUAGUUGAAUAAGCUGACACCUUGACGGUACCUAACCAGAAAGCCACGGCUAACUACGUGCCAGCCGCCGCAGUAA
rnacentral:rRNA from 1 species